rnacentral:rRNA from 1 species
CCUACGGGAGGCAGCAGUGGGGAAUAUUGCGCAAUGGGCGAAAGCCUGACGCAGCGACGCCGCGUGAGGGAUGAAGGUCUUCGGAUCGUAAACCUCUGUCAGCAGGGAAGAACGGUCACUGUGCUAAUCAGCAGUGAAUUGACGGUACCUGCAAAGGAAGCACCGGCUAACUCCGUGCCAGCAGCCGCGGUAAUACGGAGGGUGUGAGCGUUAAUCGGAAUUACUGGGCGUAAAGCGCUCGUAGGCGGUAUGUCAAGUCAAGGGGGAAAUCCCCGCGCUCAACGUGGGAACUGCCUUUGAAACUGGCAAACUGGAGUGUGUGAGAGGAUAGUGGAAUGCCAGGUGUAGGGGUGAAAUCCGUAGAUAUCUGGAGGAACAUCAGUGGCGAAGGCGACUAUCUGGCACAUAACUGACGCUGAGGAGCGAAAGCGUGGGUAGCAAACAGGAUUAGAUACCCCAGUAGUC